UGGGGGGUUGUGCCCCCCCCCCAAAAAAAAGGGGCGGGGCUUCUCUAACUUUCAACCAAUCCCUUUCCAGUUCUCCGGGAAGAGGUGGAGCCUCCUUGGCCUUUUAAUUUGACCCCCCCGGGACGAGCCGGGGGGUCCCCGGUUCGGGGCAGCCUCCGGCCUUUUUUGUUGCGGAGGGAGACGGCGGAAGGACACACGGAGCCCCCCCCGCCCCACGGACGGACGGACGCCCCCCAGCAGCGCCGCGCCAGGUGGGGGGCCCUUUUUUUGCCCCAAUUUUGCCGGUUUUGGCCUUAAUUUAUUCACUCCGGUCUCCCCACAACUCUCUCUUUUCUCGCCCCCCCAGCUCUCUAGGGAGAACCGGUCGCUGAGCCCCACGGCAGCUUCUCCCCACGGCGGGGCCGUGGGGUGGGGGGGGGGCCUCGGCGCCUGCUGGAUGUGGGGUGCCCGGCUCUGCCCCCUUUUCCUGCCCCAUAGUCCCUGGGGGUGCUCGUCCCUGCCCCAUAGGUGCCUCCCCCUGCCCCACAGCUCCCAUGGGUGCCUCCCCCUGCCCCACAUUCCCCCCCAUGGUGCCCGUCCUCACCCCAUAGAUCCCGGGAGGGGGGUCCUUCCUGCCCCAUAGCCCCUGUGGGUGCCUGUCCCUGCCCCACAACCUCACUGGGGGACUCCAAUUCCUGCCCCAUAGUCCCUGUGGGUGCCUGUCCCUGCCCCAUAGGUGCCUCCCCCUGCCCCACAGCUCCCAUGGGUGCCUCCCCCUGCCCCACAGCCCCACUGGGUGCCUGUCCCUGCCCCACACCUCCCAUGGGUGUCCGUCCUCACCCCAUAGAUCCCAGAGGGGGACCUUCCUGCCCCAUAGCCCCUGUGGGUGCCUGUCCUCACCCCACACGUGCCCGUCCCUGCCCCACAGCCCCCAUGGGAGCCUGUCCCAGCCCCACAGGUGCCUGUCCCUGCCCCACAGCCCCACUGGGUGCCUGUCCCUGCCCCACAGGUGCUUCUCCCUGCCCCACAGGUGCCUCCCCCUGCCCCACAGCCCCCACGGGUGUCUGUCCUCACCCCACAAGUGCCCCCCCCUCCCCUGCCCCACAGCACCCCAUUGGGGGGUGGGGGUGCCGCCCUUCCCCCCCCCUUUCCCCUUUUUUUGGUGACGUUUCAAUAAAAACGGUGACUGAGCGCUGGGUCCCGCCUGCUCUCGGGGUGGGAGGGGCUAGCGGGAUGGCGUCAUUCUCGAGGGGGGCAAAUAGGCGGCGCGGAGGAGGCACGGGGAGGGAGGGGCUGAUCUGCGCGCGGGGCGUGGUUAUGCAAAUCGACACCGCGGAGUAGGAAUGCUGAAGACGGGGUCCUCGAUCCAAUGGACGUGGCUGUGCAAAUAGUCAUCGCUUGAGGGGUAUGGGGGCUUUGCGCUGGGCGUGGCUAUGCAAAUAGGCAUCGCGGAGGAUGCACGGUGAGGGCGGGGCUGAUCUUCGCGCGGGCGUGGCUAUGCAAAUUGACACCGCGAGGUAGGAAUGCUGAAGGCAGGGGUGCUCUAUCCAAUGGGAGUAGCUAUGCAAAUAGGCAUAGCUUGAGGUGCAUGGGGCUUUUUUACCGGUGGGCGUGGCUAUGCAAAUAGGCAUCGCUUGAGAGGCAUGGGCCGGAUUUUGCGCUGGGCGUGGCUAUGCAAAUAGGCUUUGGUGAAAUGGAGGUGGGUGGCGGGUGGGUGUGGCUAUGCAAAUAUAUGCGGCUAUAUCUACUGAGAAGGUGGG
rnacentral:lncRNA from 1 species